CCCUUAGAUGUUCUGGGCUGCACGCGCGCUACACUGAAGCGUUCAACGAGUAUUCACCUUGCCCGGGAGGGUUGGGUAAUCUUUUGAAAACGCUUCGUGAUGGGGAUAGAUUAUUGCAAUUAUUAAUCUUCAACGAGGAAUUCCUAGUAAACGCAAGUCAUCAGCUUGCAUUGAUUACGUCCCUGCCCUUUGUACACACCGCCCGUCGCACCUACCGAUUGAAUGGUCCGGUGAAAUCUCCGGACUGGCGUGAGUCGGAGCAAUCUGACAAACACCGGAAAGUUGAUUAAACCUUACCAUUUAGAGGAAGGUGAAGUCGUAACA
rnacentral:rRNA from 1 species